CAGCAGCCGCGGGAAUACGUAGGGUGCAAGCGUUAAUCGGAAUUACUGGGCGUAAAGCGUGCGCAGGCGGUUUGUUAAGACAGAUGUGAAAUCCCCGAGCUUAACUCGGGAACUGCAUUUGAAACUGGCAGGCUAGAGUCUCGUAGAGGGGGGUAGAAUUCCAGGUGUAGCGGUGAAAUGCGUAGAGAUCUGGAGGAAUACCGGUGGCGAAGGCGGCCCCCUGGACGAAGACUGACGCUCAGGUACGAAAGCGUGGGGAGCAAACAGGAUUAGAUACCCGUGUAGUCCCUGUCUCUUAUAC
rnacentral:rRNA from 1 species